GUUCCACCACAGGUCAAUAAAAAAAGCUAUACCCAUCAAAAUGAUUCCUCAUCGAGAAGCAUCUAAGGGGGAGCCUAUGAGGAAUAUAAUCCAAAGUACUAGCUUAUUUAUUUAUUUUUUAAAUGUACGCCCAAGUUGAAACUAAAUUUUAGAUAAUAUUAUUUUAGAAUUUUAUUAUAUAUUCUUUUUUCAUAUUUUAGUAUAUUUAGUUAAUUUAAGAAUAUUUUCAUAUUUGUGAAGGCUCUGAAAUUCACUUGACCAGAAAAUUAAACAUUGAAAGAAGUUUUUUUUUUUGAUACCGAAAGACAUGUAGUUAAAUAGUAUAAUCUAUUCAUUCUCACAAAAGAACAAUUGAAAUAAGUCAUAAUCACCAAACAAUAUUUGAAGCAUUUAUGAUUAAGUUUUCCCAUAACUAAGUGUGUGUACAUUUACCCUUUCAUGUCCUUAUUUUGUGUUUAUAUUCUUUUUUUUUUUUUCCCCAUCUUUUUUACUAUUUUAAUUUGAUUUACUUUUAACUUUUUUUUCUUGUCCCAAAAAUUUAAAUUUCCAUUUUUUUAAAAAAAAAAAAAAAAAAUUCAAAGAAGACAUUUUUACCACUAAGCUUGACUUCUUCCUUCUUAAUCAAAAUAUGGAAACAUUGAAGAGGCUUCAAAGAAAACAAUUUAAGAAUAUUUUCAUAAGUAUACAAAAAAAAAAAAAAAAAGGAGACCUAUAAAGUUGGUUCCUUUGUGAAGUUUAUGCAAUUCACUUGACCAGAAAAUUAAAGAUUAAAGAGAUAGUUAAAUGGUAUAAUCUAUUCAUUCUCUCAAAAGAACAAUUGUAAUAAAUCCUAACCACAUCACAAUUUAAUCACAAAACAAUAUUUGAAGCAUUUAUGAUUAAGUUUUCCCCCCUUCCAAGUGUGUACAUAAGUUCAAUACAUUUACCCUUUCAUGUCCCUAUUUUGUGUUUAUAUUCUUUUUUUCUUCUUCUUUUUUACUAUAUUUAUUUGUUUUUGUUUUCAGGUAAAUUUUAGUUUUUUUUUAGUAAAUUAUUUUUGUUUGAUUUAUUCGAAUGAGAGAACCUUUUCAAUCUCUGAUUUGUUACCAGAAAAUUUGCUCUACUUUUAACUUUUUUUAUUGUCCCAAAAAUUUUAAUUUCCAUUUUUUUUAAAAAAAAAUACUUGCAAGAAAAAGAAUUUACCACUAAACUUUACUUCUUCUUCCUUCUUAAUCAAAAUAUGGAAACAUUGAAGAGGCUUUUCACUGCUGCGUCUCUCUCGCUCUCUCCAGACACUUCACAGUCGACUUUCUCCCUGUUCAGUCUCUCUCAGCACUCUUCACAGUUACUCUCUCUCUCUCCUUUGAGGAAGAAAAGAACUAGCCUUGGCGCACGGGUGGAGCAUUUCUCUUGGCUUGUUAUAAGAAGUGUGGCGAACCGACCCCUUCGUUAAGUGCCAGCAUCUGAAGAUUAGAAGAAGCUCUUCAUAAGAAGCUCGAUCUCCUCUUCUUGCACUCUCACUCUUUACUAAGAAGAUGGCUGAAUUGGUUGUUGGAGCACUUCUCUCGGCUUCUUUUGACUUGCUGUUUAAUCGGCUGGAUCAGCUGGCUUCUCGCGAGUUCAAAAGCUUCUUUUCCAAACAAAAAUUGGAUGAUGAACUCGUACAUAAGCUGAAGAUGACUUUGUUGGCCCUUAAAGCACUGCUGGAUGACGCUGAGGACAAGCAGAUUACCAACGAAAAUGUGAAAAAGUGGCUUGAGGAGCUCCAACAUGCUGUCUACCAAGCUGACGACUUGCUGGACGAAAUCGCUACCAAGGCCUUGAGGGACAAGUUGGAAUCAGAUGAUCAACCCCAAACCCAAAGCACCACAAGUAUGGUUUGUUUGACUGGAUUUUUCCAUCUAAUGAAGCAAUUUCUGUUGAGAAUGAAUUGUUUCGCCUCCACUUCCGCUUAUCUAUCUGAUGAAGCCAUAGAUUUCCGGAUGAAAAAGGUCAUCAGUAUGUUGGAGGGGUUUGUCCAGCAAAACAAUUUUCUUGGACUGAGAGAGAAUGUCGGAAGAAAACAGUGGAAAACACAAGAAACUUCUUCUGUGGUCGUUGAAUCUGAUGUCUACGGGAGGAAUACAGAUAAAGAGAAGAUAAUGAAAUUGGUGCUACCUGACAGUUCAACCAAGGAACAGAUACAUGUGAUCCCUAUUGUUGGAAUGGGGGGAUGGGCAAGACGACACUUGCUCAACUCGUAUAUAAUGAUGCUAGAGUAACUCAGGAAUUCGAUAUGAAAGCAUGGGCUUGCGUUUCUGAUCCAUUUGACAUUAAAACGAUAACAAAGAAAAUUCUUGACGGUGUUACUAGAUCAAACAAUGACAUCGAGAGCCUCGAUGAACUUCAAAUUAAGUUGAAAGAGACUCUCAAAGAGAAGAAAUUUCUAGUUGUCUUAGAUGAUGUUUGGAAGCAUGCUUACGAUGAUUGGAAUCGUUUAAGAAUACCAUUCAGUGAUGGAGCACAUGGAAGUAGAAUUAUUGUAACAACACGCAUUGACGAUGUCGCAUCAGCAAUGGGCACCAUUCCUAGUCAUUGCUUGGAGGAAUUAUCAUUUAAAGAUUGUUGGUCAUUAUUUGAAAAGCAUGCAUUUCAGAGUGGAGAUUGUAUGGCUCAUUCAGAACGAAAGAUCAAGAUUGGCGAACAAAUUGUGCAGAAGUGCAAAGGCUUGCCCUUAGCAGUAAUAUCACUGGGAGGUCUCUUGCGUUCUAAACAGGAUAUGGAGGGCUGGAAAGAAAUAUUAGAAAGCCAGGUGUGGCAUUUGGAGAGCAACGUUUCUCCGGCUCUGCAAUUGAGCUAUAAUGAUCUUGCUUCACAUUUAAAGCGAUGCUUCGUACAUUGUUCAAAAUUUCCUAAAGAUUACAAUUUUGAGAAGGAAAAGUUAGUUCGACUGUGGAUAGCCGAAGAUCUUGUGCAGCAACCCAAAAGCAAAAAAUCAGUGGAAGAUGAAGGUCAUUCCUACUUUCUUCAACUAUUAUCAAGGUCUUUCUUUCAGGUAAGGAUUUCUUCUUGGGCUCCAGCUGCUGCUGCAAGCUUGCAAUUAAGGUAGGGAGAGUCUGGAAAAUGCUGGGAAACUCGUUAUUCUUUGUGACUAUACAAGGCCACCAAAUCACGGAUCCUCUCAAUGUUCUCUAUUUUUCUUUUUCAAUUGGCCCAGACUUUCUAAAGACAAGUAACAACUUUUUCCUGCUUAAUAAAUUAAUGGUGACGGUUAUGUUUGAUUUGAAUUCUGUUUCUACCAUGAAAUUUCAGGUAGUUCUAAAUCUAAUAGAACUUUCAAGCCAAUGUUCUUCAUUUGUUGCUAACUGCUUUUGUUUUGUUCAUCUUAAUCUUCUUGUUUCUAAUGCUUCUCCAUUUUGUUAUGCCAUGUUCAUGAUUGAAUUAUUUGGAAGUUGUUACCUGUUUUUUUUUUGUUCAUCUUUGUCUUCUUGCUUCCAAUUUUCUUUUUCCUGGUAAGUAUGAUUAUUAUUCAACAUUAAAUAUUUUCUUCUAUUAAGAUUCCUGAUGCUCCUUUCUCAGUCUUCAAAUUCCUAGUUGUACUUGUACACAUUAUGUUGAUCCUUUUAUGCCAUUUCGCG